rnacentral:misc_RNA from 1 species
AAUCUCGUCCCACCGCCCCUACCCCCUCCACCUCGACCACGGCACAAAGAAAACGACUAAGGUAACCCGUAUCAGCACUGUGUUAUUUUCCAUUAACCACCGCGUGCGUUUUUCUUCGCGCUAAAGUCACCGAAAUCAAUCAAGACAGACACACCCGACCUCCAAAAGGAAACAUGCUCCGCUCCGCUGUGUGUCUUGCCGGCAAGGACGUGCGCUUUGGUGAAGAAGCCCGCCGCUCCAUGCAGAAGGGCGUCACUCGCGCUGUGGCUGCGGUAGCGACGACGCUGGGGCCGAAGGGUCGCAACGUGAUCAUCGAGCAGGCCUACGGCGCGCCGAAGAUCACGAAGGAUGGCGUGACCGUUGCCAAGGCGAUCGAGUUCAAGGAUCGCUUCGAGAACAUGGGUGCGCAGCUGGUACGCCAGGUGUGCAACCAGACGAACGACUUGGCUGGUGACGGCACCACGACCUCUGCGGUGCUUGUGGACAGCAUCUUCGGCGAGGGCCUCAAGUGCAUUGCCCAGGGCACGAACCCGAUCGACAUGAAGCGUGGCAUGGAUGUCGCGGUUGACUACGUGCAGACGAGCCUGCUGAAGCAGAGCCGCCCGAUCAAGGGAUCGGAGGACAUUGUUCGCGUUGCCACGAUCUCGGCCAACGGCGAUGAGGAGAUCGGCAAGAUGAUCGGUCAGGCGAUGGACAAGGUCGGCCGCGACGGCGUCAUUACGGCGCAGGACGGCAAGACGAUGGCCACUGAGCUGGAGGUUGUGGAGGGCAUGAAGAUCGAGCGUGGGUUUCUCAGCCCGUACUUCGUGACGGAUGCAAAGGCGCAGAAGGCCGAGCUCGAGGACUUGUAUGUGCUUGUAUCCAAGAAAAAAAUUAGCACCAUCCAGACGUUGCUUCCUGCCCUCAACCACGUGGCUCAGCAAGGUCGCCCGCUUCUGAUCAUUGCCGACGACGUGGAGAGCGAGGCGCUGACGACACUGAUCUUCAACAAGUUGCAGGGCAAGCUGAAGGUGUGCUGCGUCAAGGCGCCGGGCUUCGGCGACACUAAGGAAGGCAUGCUCGAGGACAUCGCUGUUUUCACUGGCGCUAAGGUCGUGGGGGACGAGAACACUGGCGUGGAGCUGGAUGCCAAGAACUUCGACCCCUCCAUCCUCGGCUCUGUCAAGAAGGUGACAGUGACAAAGGACGACACAGUGAUGCUGAACGGCGGCGGCGAUGCGGCGGCGGUGCAGGAGCGCCAGCAGUUGCUGCGCGAUCGCAUCGAGCAGGAGGCUGUGGAGUACAAUCGGGAGAAGCUGCAGGAGCGUCUGGCGAAGCUGAGCGGCGGCGUGGCCGUCAUCAAAGUGGGCGGUGCUACCGAGUUGGAGGUGAGCGAGAAGAAGGACCGCGUCGUGGACGCUGUAUGCUCCACUCGCGCUGCGGUGCAGGAGGGUAUCGUGGCCGGCGGUGGCACGGCUCUGCUGCGCGCCAGCAAGGAGCUGGAGAAGCUGCUCACCAGCGAGCAUCUUUCGCGCGAUCAGCGCACGGGUGUGACCAUCGUGCGUAAUGCCAUCCGGCUGCCGGCUAUGAAGAUUGCCGCGAACGCUGGCAAGGAGGGUGCGGUUAUUGUGGAGAAGGUGCUUGAGGCUUCCGAGGAGAGCGUCGGCUACGAUGCGCAGAACGACAGGUACGUGAACAUGUUCGAGGCUGGCAUCAUCGACCCCACCCGCGUCGUGCGUGUGGCCAUCAGCGAUGCGACGUCUGUGGCGAGUCUGAUGAUGACGGCCGAGGCCGCCAUUGUUGAGGCUCCAAAGGAGUCCAAGAAAGACAAGAAUGGCAAGAAGACCGCUGCCGCUGAGGCGGAGGAUGACGAGGAGCUGUUCGGCAGCUACUAGAAGCCGAAAUUGCCCAGAGUUGAGAUUUUGGCGCGGCCAACAGCCUCUUUUUUCCGCCUAUGUCGCUGACCUCUCGUCCCUUCGUCCGCAUUACUCCGCAUCCGCUUGAGCACGCGUGUGCCUGUGUGUAUGCUCAGCGACACUUUUUUUAUUAUAUUUUUGUUUCCUUUAUGCUCACAGUAUAUUUUUGUGUGUGUGUGUGUGCGUGCGUGCGUUGUUUGUUGUUUGCUCUUUACCGCUUACUUCGGCUGGUCGCGAAUUGCCACUCGUGUCGCUGCACCGUCACCGACUUUCCACCCCUUCCCUCUGCCAUACUACCUUCUUUCUUCCCCCCUUUCCAGCGAAGACCGCUUUUAGGGGAGGGGGCCGCAGGAAGAUGGGAGACCGAUGAAAAACGGUGGAGCCCCACUGAAAAAAGGGGGAAGGGGUGAGCAGAAAAAGGAAAAAGAGUGUUCGGAAAAGACUCCUGUGCAUGUGGGCUCUCUCUCCUUUCUCUGUACUUCACCGUGCAUGUGUGCGCGUGUGUGCUCUUGCGAUGCCUGUUCUCUCUGACAUUGUCGCCUGCCUUGCCCGUGUGCCGGCUGGCGUUUUGCGCGUUGGGUGUCGCUCUUGUAGCGUAGCCUCUCACAGUUCUGAUUAAGUAGCGUGGCAACGCACUGUUUGAGGAUGUGACGGGUGGCGGUGGGGAGAGAGGCAGCCUGCAAAGCGCCUCGGCCCUUCCGUGUGACAUUCUGCUCUUGUCCCUCGCCAUCUUCUCCCACACAAGUGCACCGCUCACUCUCUCCUCAGGACGUCCUAAGGCAAAGAACGGAGGACGGGGGGUGUACGUGUGACCUACGGGCGGCACGGAGGAGAGGAUCGCUGCACUCAUCCUUUUUUACGGUGCACUACAGCACCUUAGCGUCAAACGCGAGAGAGAGUAGAAGGGAUGGUGGAGUUGUGGCCUAUGCAGGCAAGCCGAUGCUGUUGUGUGAAGAGGGAACGCGCAUAUUGAUGGGGCGGUUAUGCAGGCCAGGUGGGACGAAGGGUGUAGGCGAGGGGGGCACGCCUACGGCCCGUUCCCAUCCCUACCCUUCCACCUCGACAAGUGCCAUUUGUGUGGUAUGCCUACCUCCGUCUUUUUUUUUUCUCCACAGCAGACAGUACUUAACCGACAGAGAUACACACAGAGAAACGCACACGAACAAAAAGAGCGUCGUUUAUUUUUCUUCAGGCUUCGCGGACUUCCCUCUACCCUCACACCCCUCCUCACUACCCCUAAAAAGAGAACGCUCGCUGCAUGUGUGCGUGUGUGUGGGUGUAUAUGUGCGGGUGUGUAUGUGGCAUGGAAGCGUGUUAGUGAAUGUUGACGGAAAAGCGAUGGUGGCGCACCAUGGCGGCAACACCAAUAGACACAACAACAAAAAAGGGAGAAAAAUGGAAACUGCACGUGCAAGGGCACCAGCUGCUCAUACGGUGUACUGGCCCACGUUUCUCCUGUUCUUCUCUGUUUGUCUAUCUGUUGCCUACACCUUUUUGCGCUUGCCUGUGCAUGAUCACUUCGAGUUGACACAUCUGUCACGAAAGCCACCGCCGAAAAGGGAGAGGUGUCUAUUAGUUGAAGGGAGG